rnacentral:rRNA from 1 species
UUAAGCGUGUAGGCUGGUUUUCCAGGCAAAUCCGGAAAAUCAAGGCUGAGGCGUGAUGACGAGGCACUACGGUGCUGAAGCAACAAAUGCCCUGCUUCCAGGAAAAGCCUCUAAGCAUCAGGUAACAUCAAAUCGUACCCCAAACCGACACAGGUGGUCAGGUAGAGAAUACCAAGGCGCUUGAGAGAACUCGGGUGAAGGAACUAGGCAAAAUGGUGCCGUAACUUCGGGAGAAGGCACGCUGAUAUGUAGGUGAAGUCCCUCGCGGAUGGAGCUGAAAUCAGUCGAAGAUACCAGCUGGCUGCAACUGUUUAUUAAAAACACAGCACUGUGCAAACACGAAAGUGGACGUAUACGGUGUGACGCCUGCCCGGUGCCGGAAGGUUAAUUGAUGGGGUCAGCGCAAGCGAAGCUCUUGAUCGAAGCCCCGGUAAACGGCGGCCGUAACUAUAACGGUCCUAAGGUAGCGAAAUUCCUUGUCGGGUAAGUUCCGACCUGCACGAAUGGCGUAAUGAUGGCCAGGCUGUCUCCACCCGAGACUCAGUGAAAUUGAACUCGCUGUGAAGAUGCAGUGUACCCGCGGCAAGACGGAAAGACCCCGUGAACCUUUACUAUAGCUUGACACUGAACAUUGAGCCUUGAUGUGUAGGAUAGGUGGGAGGCUUAGAAGUGUGGACGCCAGUCUGCAUGGAGCCGACCUUGAAAUACCACCCUUUAAUGUUUGAUGUUCUAACGUUGACCCGUAAUCCGGGUUGCGGACAGUGUCUGGUGGGUAGUUUGACUGGGGCGGUCUCCUCCUAAAGAGUAACGGAGGAGCACGAAGGUUGGCUAAUCCUGGUCGGACAUCAGGAGGUUAGUGCAAUGGCAUAAGCCAGCUUGACUGCGAGCGUGACGGCGCGAGCAGGUGCGAAAGCAGGUCAUAGUGAUCCGGUGGUUCUGAAUGGAAGGGCCAUCGCUCAACGGAUAAAAGGUACUCCGGGGAUAACAGGCUGAUACCGCCCAAGAGUUCAUAUCGACGGCGGUGUUUGGCACCUCGAUGUCGGCUCAUCACAUCCUGGGGCUGAAGUAGGUCCCAAGGGUAUGGCUGUUCGCCAUUUAAAGUGGUACGCGAGCUGGGUUUAGAACGUCGUGAGACAGUUCGGUCCCUAUCUGCCGUGGGCGCUGGAGAACUGAGGGGGGCUGCUCCUAGUACGAGAGGACCGGAGUGGACGCAUCACUGGUGUUCGGGUUGUCAU